rnacentral:rRNA from 1 species
AUACGGAGGGUGCAAGCGUUGUUCGGAAUUAUUGGGCGUAAAGACCAUGUAGGCGGACUGUUAAGUCUGGUGUGAAAGCCCGGGGCUCAACCCCGGAAGUGCAUUGGAUACUGGCAGUCUUGAGUAUGGGAGAGGAAAGUGGAAUUCCGAGUGUAGGAGUGAAAUCCGUAGAUAUCCGGAGGAACACCAGUGGCGAAGGCGGCUUUCUGGACCAAUACUGACGCUGAGAUGCGAAAGCGUGGGGAGCGAACAGGAUUAGAUACCCCAGUAGUCC